rnacentral:rRNA from 1 species
GAGAACAGGGCUUCGGCCCUGAGUAGAGUGGCGCACGGGUGAGUAACGCGUGGGUAAUCUGCCCUUGGAUUUGGGAUAACUCUGCGAAAGUGGAGCUAAUACCGGAUAGUCUGGCUUUAAUUAAGAAGUCGGUAAAGGAUGCCUCUGCAUAUGCAUUCGUCCGAGGAUGAGCCCGCGUCUCAUUAGCUAGUUGGUAGGGUAAUGGCCUACCAAGGCAACGAUGAGUAGCUGGUCUGAGAGGAUGAUCAGCCACACUGGAACUGAAACACGGUCCAGACUCCUACGGGAGGCAGCAGUGGGGAAUAUUGCGCAAUGGGCGAAAGCCUGACGCAGCAACGCCGUGUGAGGGAUGAAGGCUUUCGGGUCGUAAACCUCUGUCGGAAGGGAAGAACGGGCAUUGGUCUAAUAGGCCUUUGUUUUGACGGUACCUUUAGAGGAAGCACCGGCUAACUCCGUGCCAGCAGCCGCGGUAAUACGGAGGGUGCAAGCGUUAUUCGGAAUUACUGGACGUAAAGCGCACGUAGGCGGCCUUGUAAGUCAGGGGUGAAAUCCCACGGCUCAACCGUGGAA